UUGGAGGGCAAGUCUGGUGCCAGCAGCCGCGGUAAUUCCAGCUCCAAUAGCGUAUAUUAAAGUUGUUGCAGUUAAAAAGCUCGUAGUUGAAUUUCGGGGUUCUACCGUCGGUCGGGCUACCAAGUCUGUACUGGUGUGUAGAACUUCUACCUUCUGGGGAACCAUCAUGUUAUUAAUUUAGCGUGGUGGGAAACCAGGACCUUUACCUUGAAAAAAUUAGAGUGUUCAAAGCAGGCUUAUGUCUGAAUACAUUAGCAUGGAAUAAUAGAAUAGGACGGUGGUCCUGUUUUGUUGGUUUCUGAAUCACCGUAAUGAUUAAUAGGGAUAGUUGGGGGCAUUAGUAUUCAAUUGUCAGAGGUGAAAUUCUUGGAUUUAUUGAAGACUAACUUCUGCGAAAGCAUUUGCCAAGGAUGUUUUCAUCAAUCAAGAACGAAAGUUAGGGGAUCGAAGACGAUCAGAUACCGUCGUAGUCUUAACCAUAAACUAUGCCGACUAGGGAUCGGACGAUGUUAAAUUUUAUUGACUCGUUCGGCGCCUUACGGGAAACCAAAGUGUUUGGGUU
rnacentral:rRNA from 1 species